CCUACGGGUGGCAGCAGUGAGGAAUAUUGGUCAAUGGACGAGAGUCUGAACCAGCCAAGUAGCGUGAAGGAUGACUGCCCUAUGGGUUGUAAACUUCUUUUAUAAAGGAAUAAAACGAGGCACGUGUGCCUUUUUGCAUGUACUUUAUGAAUAAGGAUCGGCUAACUCCGUGCCAGCAGCCGCGGUAAUACGGAGGAUCCGAGCGUUAUCCGGAUUUAUUGGGUUUAAAGGGAGCGUAGAUGGGUUGUUAAGUCAGUUGUGAAAUUUUGCGGCUCAACCGUAAAAUUGCAAUUGAUACUGGCAGUCUUGAGUACAGUUGAGGUAGGCGGAAUUCGUGGUGUAGCGGUGAAAUGCUUAGAUAUCACGAAGAACCCCGAUUGCGAAGGCAGCUUACUAAACUGUGACUGACAUUGAUGUUCGAAAGUGUGGGUAUCAAACAGGAUUAGAUACCCUAGUAGUC
rnacentral:rRNA from 1 species